rnacentral:rRNA from 1 species
UACGUAGGGUCCGAGCGUUGUCCGGAAUUAUUGGGCGUAAAGAGCUCGUAGGCGGUUUGUCGCGUCUGCUGUGAAAUCCCGAGGCUCAACCUCGGGUCUGCAGUGGGUACGGGCAGACUGGAGUGCGGUAGGGGAGAAUGGAAUUCCUGGUGUAGCGGUGGAAUGCGCAGAUAUCAGGAGGAACACCGAUGGCGAAGGCAGUUCUCUGGGCCGUAACUGACGCUGAGAAGCGAAAGCAUGGGGAGCGAACAGG